CCUACGGGCGGCAGCAGUGAGGAAUAUUGGUCAAUGGCCGAGAGGCUGAACCAGCCAAGUCGCGUGAGGGAAGACGGCCCUACGGGUUGUAAACCUCUUUUGUCGGGGAGCAAAGAGAGGCACGUGUGACUCAUUGAGAGUACCCGAAGAAAAAGCAUCGGCUAACUCCGUGCCAGCAGCCGCGGUAAUACGGAGGAUGCGAGCGUUCUGCGGAUUGAUGGGGUUGAAAGGGUGCGCAGGCGGAGGUGCAAGGCAGCGGUCAAAUUGCGGGGCUCCACCCCGUACUGCCGUUGAAACUGCAUCCCUUGAGUGCGCGUGCAGUAUGCGGCAUGCGUGGUGUAGCGG
rnacentral:rRNA from 1 species